GGUCUUGUAUUCAUUUUGUGAUUAUAGAAUGCAAUUCUAUGGGGGUGAGUUAGAAUUACUUACCAAGGCCU
rnacentral:tRNA from 2 species